rnacentral:misc_RNA from 1 species
GCACCAUGGCGGCGAGCUGG